GCACGAUGAGCGCCUGUUUCCGGAACUCGACCACGCUGGCAGUCAGCGGGACCAUCACCUCGGGCAUCACCUGCCCCUUCCGGCCGGCGACGGUGCAGGCAGCCUCGAAGAUGGCCCGAGCCUGCAUCUCGGUGAUCUCGGGAUAGAUGAUCCCCAGCCGGCAGCCUCUGAGCCCGAGCAUCGGGUUCACCUCAUGCAGCCGGUCCACGAUUCCACGGAGCGCCGCCGGCUCCAGCUUAAGCUCGCCGGCGAGCGCCUCGAUCUCCUCCGGCUCUUUAGGCAGGAACUCGUGCAGCGGGGGAUCGAGGAGGCGGAUGGUCA
rnacentral:misc_RNA from 1 species